CCAGACCCGAGCAGAUUUCAUGGAUGACGACGGAGCCUGGGCACAAGCAGAGAAGCUGGUGGGUGGUACUGCAUUGUCCGAGUCCAUCAGCAGCUGUGCAGGGAGCCUCGCUACCCCAGACCCUACCUGUGGCUCCCCGUGGCUGGACGAGAUGCCCAAGGCCCAGAAACUGGGCUCAGGCACGACCUGGACCAACCAGAGCUUCG